UCCGGCCUCGUGCCCGCCAUUGGGGUUGUAGUCCCAGGUUAGGUCUGUUUAUCUCCUCAGGUUCGGGAGCGCGGGUCAGGAUUGUGGUAACUGACGCUGAAGACGCGAGCAGCGGCGCUGUCCUCGCCGUACACAGUUGAGCCCGGGUGUCCGCUCCCCUCCGGCCCGCUGCCGGCCCACCGAGUCCGAUGGCGGCGGCCGUGCCCAAGGACCCGUCUGAGUGUGGUGUGACCUUUGAGGACGUGGCCGUGUACUUCUCCUGGAAGGAGUGGAGGCUUCUUGAUGAGGCUCAGAGACGGCUGUACCACCAUGUGAUGCUGGAGAACUUUGCACUUGUAUCGUCACUGGGUUGCUGCUGUGGAGCAGAGGAUGAGGAGGCCCCCUUUGCACAGAGCGCUUCUGUAGGCGUGUCCCAGACCGGGACGCCCAGGGCCUCUCUGUCUUCCCGGAAGACCCACCCCUGUGAGAUGUGUGGUCCCGUCUUGAGAGACAUUUUCCACUUGGCUGAGCUCCAGGGGAAAGAAAACGGCCAGAAACAGUUGAGGUGUGGGGCCUGCGGGAAACGAUUUUCUUUCAGUGUGAAGUUGGAGCAGCAGCAGGAGCAGCCCGCGGGAGCAAAACCAUUCAGAAGCCGUGUGGACAGGGCCUCUGCUGUCAAGAGCUGGGGAUCCGGUGGUUCGGGAAAGCCCUUUACCUGUGGAGAGGUGGAGAAGGACUUGCUGUCUGGCUCGGGGCAUCUUGGGCAAGAGGCCACUCGUACUGGGGAGAAGCCACACACGAUCCCCCGGUGCAGGGCAACGUUACGACACGGAAGCAGUCAUGGCACUUGGGGCGGAUGCAAGAACACCUUUGUUCCCAAACACACAGAUACUCGGGACCAGGGUGUCCACCUUGGUAGAGAGUCCUUUGUGUGCAGUGAAUGUGGGAAAACUUUCAGGUACAAAUCCUUAUUUGCCAUACACCAGAGAUACCAUACUGGAGCACGACAUCAUGAGUUUGGUCCAUGUGGGAAAUCCUUUGGGCAACAACCAACCCUGAAUCAACAUGGGAAGACUCAGGGUGGAUCCAGGCAGUACACGUGCAGCAAAUGUGGGAAAUCCUUAGGGCCUGCAUCUGUCUUCCUUCAUCCCCAAAAAUGGCACAGUGGAGGGGAGAGUUAUGUUUGCAGCGGGUGUGCAAAAUCUGUUAGCGGUAGCUCAGUGUUGCUUACUCAUAGUGUCCAGUCUGGAGAUCGGUUGUAUAAGUGUCAUGGCUGUGCAAAAGCUUUCCCGUCUAUGUCUGCCCUCUCAGAUCAUGAGAGAUCUCAUGCAGGGCAAAGGCGGUAUGAGUGCAGUGAUUGUGGGAAAUCUGUUACCAGUAGUUCUGGCCUCCGUUCUCACCAGAGAGUUCACACUGGAGAAAGGCCUUAUAAAUGCAAUGAAUGUGGGAAAUCUUUUGCUGGUAGUUCUUCACUACGUUAUCACCAGACAAUUCACAGUGGAAUUAGGCCUUAUGAGUGCAGUGAAUGUGGGAAAUCUUUUGCUGGUAGUUUUGUCUUACGUUAUCAUCAGAGAGUUCACACUGGUGAAAGGCCUUAUGCGUGCAGUGAAUGUGGCAAAUCCUUUAUCCGAAAAACUAGCCUCAGUGUACACAUAAAAGUUCACUCAGGUGAAAGGCCUUAUGAAUGUAGUGUAUGUGGGAAAAAUUUUACUGCUAGUUCUGCCCUCCUUCAUCAUCAGAGAGUUCAUACUGGAGAACGGCCAUUUGAGUGCCGUGAAUGUGGGAAAUCUUACACUGCUCGUUCUGCCCUCCGUUCUCACCAGAGACUUCACACAGGAGAAAGGCCUUAUGAGUGUCGUGAAUGUGGGAAAUCUUUUACUUUUAGUUCUGCCCUAUCUUCUCACCGGAGACUUCAUACUGGGCAAAGGCGUUAUGAGUGCUAUGAAUGUGGGAAAUCUUACACUGCUAGUUCUACCCUCCGUUCGCACCAGAGACUUCACACUGGAGAACGUCCUUACGAGUGCCGUGAAUGUGGGAAAUCUUUUACUAGUAGUUCUGCCCUCCGUUAUCACCAGAGACUUCACACUGGAGAACGUCCUUAUGAGUGCCAUGAGUGUGGGAAAUCUUUUAUCACUAGUAAUCAACGUCGUUCUCACCAGAGAGUUCACAGUGGAGAGAGGCCUUAUGAAUGCCCUGAAUGUGGCAAAUCCUUUCCCCGAAAAGGUAGCCUCAGUAUACACAAAAUGGUUCACUCAGGUGACCGGCCUUAUGAGUGUAAUGAAUGUGGGAAAUCAUUUAUUGCUAGUUCUGCCCUCCGUCGUCACCAGAGAGUCCACACUGGAGAAAGGCCUUAUGAGUGCCAUGAAUGUGGGAAAUCAUUUACUGCUAGUUCUGCCCUCCGUUAUCACCAGAGACUUCAUACUGGACAAAAGCCUUAUGAGUGCCGUGUAUGUGGGAAAUCUUUUAUCACUAGUAAUCAACAUCGUGCUCACCAGAGUGUUCACAGUGGUGAGAGGCCUUAUGAGUGCAGUGAAUGUGGCAAAUCCUUUCCCCGAAAAGAUAGCCUCAGUGUACACAAAAAGGUUCACUCAGGUAAACGGCCUUAUGAGUGUAGUGAAUGUGGGAAAUCAUUUACUGCUAGUUCUGCCCUCCAUCGUCACCAGAGACGUCACACUGGAGAAAGGCCUUAGAGUGCCGUGAAUAUGGGAAAUCUUUUUAUGAGUCAUAAUGGUUUGAGACAUCAUUACAGCCUUUACACUGCAGAAGGAUCUAAAACAGCACAGGUGAUACUUCUUGCUUGGCGUUUAGGCUGGAGGACAACCUCUGAAUUGACUGUGGUUCCCCUGAAUGUCCCCAGUGCAGUGACUUCCCAUAAGAUCCAGCCAUUUUCAGAAAAAUUCAGAACCUGCAUAGUGCUUUCUGAUGUGGGUGCAGUCACCGCAAGAUGGAAGUCACUGGCAGUGUCUGUGGCAGUGUCUGGCACCUGGCAGUUCUCGGUGUGCAUACGUCUCCACCCCAACAUGGUUAAUGAUGCCGAGCUGUUCACGUUCUCGACUGUUCAUCCAAAUUCUGGGUUCCUGGAACCCCUCGUCCCGUUCCCAGUUAGGGCAUGGAUGUGACUCGUGUUGAUCCACAGUGGGCGAUGUGAGUUCUGGGUGGUGACUCACACAGGAAGGCUAAGUCCCACGGGGGUGUUGCUGGUCUCCUGAUGCUUUGAUGACUAUUUGCAGCGUCCAGGUCACCACACAGGAAUUGUGUGCCCCAUGUUGCUCUGAUUAAUGUAUCAGUAAGUGCCAUGUUUGUUUAAUUACCUUUGAUCUUAGACAUUGUGUGCCCUCGAAGGGGUGGUUUGAAAGCAGCAUCGGGCUCUCCCACAUGAAGGAAUGAGCAGAUCGCAUUCCAUCCCAUACUUGCUGUGUCUCUGAGAGGAAAAUUGCUAAUAAAUAUUGUACAUAUAUAUAUAUAUAUAUGUGUGUGUGUGUGUGUGUGUGUGUGUAUAUAUAUAAAUACUCCAGCUUGUGUGUUCAUUUGCAUUAUAACCAAAGACCUUGGUGAUGUGCUGAAUUUUACAGUCUCAGAUGUGUCAGAGAAGUGUGAGUCAUGGAAUAACUAGGGAGCUGGACGGCAAAGCUUGGGACAGUAGGGAAAGUUUCCGAUGGAGGGUUUGAAAAGUGAUAGCUGUGAUGUGGACCCGGGUGGAGAUUUGGAUCACAUUUCAGAACGGAACACAGGGUAUAAUGACAAAGCUGCUAGUAGGUUCAGUAUCCUACUACGUUGUGUGGAAGAAUGGUUGUCUUGGGCAGCAUGUGGUGGUGGUUGACGGGCAUUGUCACCAUGGGUGAAAGAGAGAGAAAGAUCUGGCCGAUGAUGGCCAAGGUUGCUUGGGAUGAUUGGAAGAGAUGGCUGAGGACAAAGAAAAUUGAGACAAGAUGACAGUGAGACUGGGGCUGUUCUCUCUUCCAUGUUCUAGGGCUUCCGCAGAAUUUUGUGGUCAGUUUUUACGGUGUCUGGGGUGUUUCUGAGUCUUCGUGCCAGAAAAGGUCUGGGGCAAAUGUGAUUUGUGGUUCUGUGUGCCUGGCAGGGAGAUCCUCAGUGCUAGGGUUUUCACAGAGGUUCAGUAGAGGAUGGUUGGUUCCUGAUUGUCGAGGGCCAGCAUGGGCAGCAUAGAAGUAGAAGACGGUGUAGGAGCAUCCUAGGUUGACAGUGAUUGUGAGUGUCGUACUGCAGGGAGGAUUAGAGACAGGCGAGGAGGGUUCUCAGCACCAUUUGAGGCUUUCCCUCAGUUGGGAUCCAUGGGAGUACUGGGGUGGUAGUGGAACCUGUUUGUGUUUGUCACACAUCCCUUGGUUGGCAUGUGACAGGUACAAGUGUGAGUUAACAGAGAAUCCAUUGGUGUGGGGUAGGAAGGUAUGGGCGUUCAUCUAUGGGGUGUGAGGAUGUGAGAAAUGUACAGUCUACGGAAUCAGGUACACCUGGAGAGGAAUUGUGAGCUAAGGGCCUCAGGACCUUGGUAUUGAGACUUCCUGGCAGAGCAGGGCCUAUAAUUGGCUGUGCUGAGGGCUCGCCCUGGGAGACUCCAUGAUAAUAUCGUGGCAGGAGGAUGGGACUUGCAGGCCAAACCCAGAGCUUAGCUUGCUUCCAUGCUUCCCCUGCGUGUUAUUGCUGAGCACUGAACAGUGAUUGGUGGGAAGGUGAGAGCAGAGCAGCAUUAGAGGCACCAGGACCUGGUGUUUAUCUGAGGAGGGGAGCUGGGCUGGCAGGGGAGACUGGGCUGGAUGUGUAGGGGUUUCAAGUGUAAGUUCUCAGAGAAUGUUCAUGGUUUCCUCUCUUCCUUUUCGGCAGAGUGGUGUGACAUUUGAGGACAUUGUCGUAUACUUCUGUCCUUUUUCAGUUUCAGAGAUGGCACAAUGGAGAGAACUGUUAUGUUCGCAGUGGCUGUGCAAAAUAUCUUAACCGUAGCUCAGUGUUGAUUACUAAGAGCAUUCAACCUGGAGAAAGGCCUUCUAAGUGUAGUGACUGUUCCAAAUCUUUUACCUCUAUGUCUGCCUCCCAUUAUCACUGGAGAUCUCAGAGAGGGGAAAUACCUUAUGUGUGCAGUGAAUGUUGGAAAUCUUUUAUCACCAGGACUGACUUCCUUUCUCACUAGAAUUUACACUGAAUAAAGGCCCUAUGUGUGCAGUGACUGUGGAAGGUCCCUUUGCCAGAGAAACAACCCCAGUAUACACCUAAAGUUUCACUGAGGAGAAUGACCUUUUAAGUGUAAUGAUUGUAGGAAAUGUGUUAUUUUUUAAAAGAUUUAUUUAGGGGUGCCUUGGUGGCUCAGUGGGUUA